rnacentral:rRNA from 1 species
GACGAACGCUGGCGGCGUGCUUAACACAUGCAAGUCGAGCGGAAAGGCCCUUUCGGGGGUACUCGAGCGGCGAACGGGUGAGUAACACGUGAGUAAUCUGCCCUGGACUCUGGGAUAGCCACCGGAAACGGUGAUUAAUACCGGAUAUGACACCUUGCUGCAUGGUGGGGUGUGGAAAGUUUUUUCGAUCCAGGAUGUGCUCGCGGCCUAUCAGCUUGUUGGUGAGGUAAUGGCUCACCAAGGCUUUGACGGGUAGCCGGCCUGAGAGGGUGACCGGUCACACUGGGACUGAGACACGGCCCAGACUCCUACGGGAGGCAGCAGUGGGGAAUAUUGGACAAUGGGCGGAAGCCUGAUCCAGCAACGCCGCGUGAGGGAUGACGGCCUUCGGGUUGUAAACCUCUUUCAGCAGGGACGAAGCGCAAGUGACGUACCUGCAGAAGAAGCACCGGCCAACUACGUGCCAGCCGCCGCAGUAAAAC